AAGUCGUAACAAGGUUUCCGUAGGUGAACCUGCGGAAGGAUCAUUACCGAGAGACGGGUCUAAUCGGCCCCAACUCUUCACCCGUGUAUACUAUACUAUUUGUUGCUUUGGCGGGCCGUCGAAGGCUCUUCGCGGGAGGCUUCGGUCUCCUCGUGCCCGCCGGAGGCCCCAUUAAACCCUGUCACCAGUGUCGUCCGAGUAUAAAUUGAAUAACUAAAACUUUCAACAACGGAUCUCUUGGUUCCA
rnacentral:misc_RNA from 1 species